GGCGGACGGGUGAGUAAUGCUUGGGAACUUGCCUUUGCGAGGGGGAUAACUAUUGGAAACGAUAGCUAAUACCGCAUAAUGUUUUCGAACCAAAGUGGGCUUAGGCUCACGCGCAGAGAGAGGCCCAAGUGAGAUUAGCUAGUUGGUAAGGUAAAGGCUUACCAAGGCGACGAUCUCUAGCUGUUCUGAGAGGAAGAUCAGCCACACUGGGACUGAGACACGGCCCAGACUCCUACGGGAGGCAGCAGUGGGGAAUAUUGCACAAUGGGGGGAACCCUGAUGCAGCCAUGCCGCGUGUGUGAAGAAGGCCUUCGGGUUGUAAAGCACUUUCAGACGUGAGGAAGGGUUGAUGGUUAAUACCCGUCAACAUUGACGUUAGCGUCAGAAGAAGCACCGGCUAACUCCGUGCCAGCAGCCGCGGUAAUACGGGGGGUGCGAGCGUUAAUCGGAAUUACUGGGCGUAAAGCGCACGCAGGCGGUUUGUUAAGCUAGAAGUGAAAGCCCCGGGCUCAACCUGGGAAGGCCUUUUAGAACUGGCAAGCUAGAGUCUUGGAGAGGGGAGUGGAAUUCCAGGUGUAGCGGUGAAAUGCGUAGAUAUCUGGAGGAACAUCAGUGGCGAAGGCGGCUCCCUGGCCAAAGACUGACGCUCAUGUGCGAAAGUGUGGGUAGCGAACUAGGAUUAGAUACCCUGGUAGUCCACACCGUAAACGCUGUCUACUAGCUGUGUGUGAAUUUAAUUUGUGCGUA
rnacentral:rRNA from 1 species